rnacentral:rRNA from 1 species
AGAAUCAACGCUGGCGGCGUGCCUAACACAUGCAAGUCGCACGAGAAAGUGGAGCAAUCCACGAGUAAAGUGGCGCACGGGUGAGUAACACGUGAAUAAUCUACCUCCGAGUGGGGAAUAACUGAGAGAAAUCUUAGCUAAUACCGCAUAAUACCCACGGGUCAAAGCAGCAAUGCGCUUGGAGAGGAGUUCGCGGCCGAUUAGCUAGUUGGGCGGGUAAUCGGCCCACCAAGGCGAUGAUCGGUA